UCCUUGACCAACCUAUUAAUAUCCGCAAUUCCCGCCAAAACUCUCACGACUGAGUGCAAUUCCCGCCAAAACUUUUACGACUGAGUCAGUACAGGACUGAGUCCAUGUACCGUCGCUUGCAGGAUGAACGGUCGUUGAUAAAAACAUUGUCUAUUCGCGUGAGAAUCUUCGAUGUUUGUCAAGAGCACUUGACAGGUUCUGAUCUGAUGUUAAUCUGUUGAACAACCAGAUCCAAGCUUUGAAACCACCAAAUGAUCAUAAAUGAUCAUCAAAAACAUUGAAGUUUCUCGGUAAAAACAUUGAACUUUGUCAUGAGAAUAGACAAUACUUUACUGCGACCGUUCAUCCUUAGUGCAUUCAGUAAAUGAGUCCGCCUUUUACAAAUCGCAGCCCGCGAUUUGUAAAACACGGACUCAGUCCGUGUUUUCCCGGUCCAGUCCAGUCC
rnacentral:lncRNA from 1 species